GGUAAGUGCACGCUAUUUUUCGGGCUCGAACGUUCUUUUUUUACGCUUCCCGGCGCGGUUGACAUUGAAAACUCGAGGGGAUUACCGGAUCGAGAUACAAGAAUUCUUGUAAACUCGUCGAUGCUUCUCGCGGACUCUUUCGAACACUGCGCUUCGACCGAUCCACCAAUUUUCGAAGGGGCGAAUCCGUCCCCUUUUUUGCUCUCGUCACAUCGCCGGAGACCGAGCGGGUGAAUCAAGAUGGCCGCGCGGAAACGGAAACCGGAAACGUGUCACUCGAGCUACGGGAGCUUCCGACGUGCCCUCGAAAGAGAUAUCUCCCUCUCUCUUAACUCAUGACUCUCGUUCUUAUUAUAUUCGGACAAUGUCUUUGUUCGAUAUAAUAAAUGGAUACUAAAAAAAGACGAUUUUUAAUUCUUUUUCAUUUCAUUCGCCAUCCCGUUAAUUUUACAACGACUAAAAACGUCAUUAAUCCUCCCUGAAAAUCACGAUAAACAUCGUAUUCGAAUGCGUUAUUGAUCUCGUUGAAUCGCCUCUCAGGACUGGAGUAAUAAGUGCCAAAAAACUUAUUUUAUGUCUCAUACAAUUUUUAUUUAUAAUUUCAUCAAUCUUUGUCUUGCACUCGGUCUCGCUCACUCACAUAUAUUAAUUCGCUAUUAUAUGUUUUCUCUUUUAUUCGUCGUUCGAAUCAAUUAUAGUACACAAUUUACAUAUAUACAAUUGUUGCUACAAUAAAUACUAUAACGAUUACUAUGGACGUAAA